UACGGAGGGUGCAAGCGUUAAUCGGAAUUACUGGGCGUAAAGCGCACGUAGGUGGUUUGUUAAGCUAGAUGUGAAAUCCCCGGGCUCAACCUGGGAAUGGCAAUGGAUACUGGCAAGCUAGAGUGUGUCAGAGGAUGGUGGAAUUCCCGGUGUAGCGGUGAAAUGCGUAGAGAUCGGGAGGAACAUCAGUGGCGAAGGCGGCCAUCUGGGACAACACUGACGCUGAAGCACGAAAGCGUGGGGAGCAAACAGG
rnacentral:rRNA from 1 species